rnacentral:lncRNA from 1 species
GUAUCUUGCUUCUAGUCAAUCUCUUUACAUUUUUUUCCCCCUUUCCUGCACCCAAAGCUAACCCUUGACAUCUUCAUCUCUUGCAGCAACAGGGACAGGGUGCUCAACAAACAUUCCGUUUGCUCCUCCGCAUUUCAUAGCCCCUUUGCACGUAGGCAGGUCCUCAUGAUGAGUUCUGGAUAAUGGGCUAACGUGAAAGUGACGCUGGGUACUUUGGUGGCAACGUGGAAGAGCCAGUGUGAUACUUGCCACUUGUCCCUUCCCUAGAUGAUACCUAUUCAAGAUGGAGAGCCUGGGUCCCUGAGUGACCCUGUCCAGUACCUGAAAGCAUGAAAUAAAGAAGAAAUAAGUUUUUUUUAAAAGUUAAGUGCUUCAAAUAUGAGGAAUACACUAGCCUUUUUUGCCUAAUGAAUAAUCACAGCUCUCUAGAGUCUUUUGGUAAGAGAUUGAAACCUUGUUUAACUUGUCACCCAAAGUCUUUCAAAAUCAAAUUCCACUUUUCUAAUUUUGUAGUACUCCAAAUAAUGUAAUAGCUACUCUAGAGAAUUUAAUAUAUUCAAAUGCUUUUGCUUUUGACUAUGUCUAUUAUCAUCAUUUUAUUUGUGCUCUGUUAUUUUUUUUGCUCACGUUCUUUGAAUUAGUCACUCUGGUUCCUACCAUAAAACUUCUUUGUAGGGCUUAAUAAAUGCUUUACCUUCUGGCUUUUUCCAGCCUCAUCAUUUGCCAGUCUUCUCUCUAUUUUUUUUUCCCUAGUGUGGAGGAACAGACACAAUCUCCCACCUUUACUUUGCAAACUUCUUGUCUAUCAGUCUCCACUAAACAGAUAGUUACUCAAGGAAGCCUUUUUUGAUCUCUGUAUUGAGACCCUGCCCAUAUUCUUCUAGGGGAUGCUAAUCUUCCUCUCUAGUAGCUAUCAUUACACUGUAUUUUCAUUGCCUAAUUGCUUCUUUACACACCCCACUAAGCCGUAAGCACUGAUUGAGUCCAUCUCAUUCUUGUGUGUUCUUACUGGCAAUCACAAGCUCUGUCACCUAAAGGGGACACAGCAGGGCAUUGAAUCAAAAUAGGUUCCCCACAAUGGAGAAGACUCUUCCGUCUUUCUCUAACUGCUUUCUCAUCCCAGUACUUAUCCUGUUUCUUCCACAAAGCCUUGUGUAUGAUUUUAUCGCACACGACUCUAUGGUAUUGAGGUGCUCAUAGAGUACACCACCUUUUUUGACCAUCACUCAUUUGGGGCCUGCUUUUCGUCCUUGCUCAUUGUAUUGCCUGAGUAUUAUAUCCCCCAGUAUCAUCUUUGAAAACGGGUACUCUUUUGAGAAAAUUAUUUAUAGUAUCCAGAAGAGGCUUAGCAUGAGACAGGCACUCUGUUUGGAUAAGUAUGAAUAAGGAAAAGGUCUGAUCUCAGGGUGUUCAGAACCUAAAAGACAGGACAAAAUGUAAACAGAUAAAUAGAUGUCAGUGGUUUUAUUUUCAUAUUAUUUGCAUGAGCAAGUAUCUGUGCCAAGAGACUACAAUUGCUAAAAAUGCUUUAAUAUAUGAAGAGGCAUAGAAAAUGUCUUCACAGCCAUAAAGUGAAAUUAUGGGAAAUACAAUUAUCCACAUUGAUUGACAAUCUUAAUGAAAUGAGUAAAACUCCAAAGAAUAAUUGUUCAGAAUUCCUCACUUCUGCCUCCAUAAUUUUAAGGAAGGAAAAAAGUCCCAUUACUUCUUAUAAUCUCCUUUAAUCAUUUCUCCUCUGCUGUGCUACCCUUAUUUUUCUUCCUUCCUAGUUUGCCCUUUCAAGCCUAUGCAGCUUCCUUUCUCUACCCCCCCCCCUCCGCCCCCCUCGCCGGCACACACACACAUGGGUCUGAUUAACUAGCUAACACAUUUACCCAGUUAAAUUCUUCUCUGAUGUUCCCACAUUCCACAUGAUCUUAGACCAAUCAAAAUUAUGUGGACAUCAAAAAUAGUGAUGUUCUCACUAUUCUACGCAUUAUUCACGAAUGUGCUGAGUUUCUCAGUAGAUGCAUUUGUGGUAUUUUAGAUCAUUUAAUUUUCAAGGGUAUGUUGGAUCUAAGUAGACCGAGAUAAAAUAUCUACCAUUUAAUCAGCACUGGGAUAGUUACAAGAGCAAGAUGUAAAGUUAGGACCUCACUGAGCUAAUAAGGAAGGAGAGGUGGCAGCCAAGCCAACAAAAAGGUAAAAAGCCCAAUUUACUUAAAAGAGGCUCUAUUUAAAGAAAAUCUAAUUUUAUGUUAUGAAUAUUCACCCUCCCAUCUUAUUGUGCACAUGUGAAAUUGCUCAUAGUUUUAUUUAUUUAUUCCUCACUUUGUUCUAAAAAAGGAUUUAAGAUAGCUUAUGAGGAUGUUUAAAAUACAUCAAAGCAACAUAAUUAGAAAUAGGUGAGAAAGUAGAAAAAUAACAAGACAGGAAACCUAAAGUCAAACCAGAAAUAGGACAGAAGGCAAGUUCUCUGUUAUGAAAGUUUUAUACCUUUACUAUUGUUUCAAAGAUCUUAAGCAUCCUAUGUUGAAGGCGUUUGGUAGGUCAUGGAACUGACACUAUUUAGGAUAUAAAACAAAUGAACUGUUUAGAAAGAGAUGGUCAGAAGCGGUGGGAUAAUCUCUUGAGCGGACUCAGGGAAGACACCGUCUUAAACAUGAACAGCAUCACCAUCACCCUUCUCAACCGGGUGGGCGUAACCACGGUGAGUCGCCUAACGCAGUUCCUUGUAGUAUUCUUCUGUAUAAGCUGGUGGUAUCAUGUUAAGGUAAAUUACAGUGCGAGACACUAUUUUUGUCACUCUGUAUGAGGGGUAGAGAUGAAGGAGCAGUAAGAUAGAGUCCAAUAUGUAACUGUAUAUUGGUUUGGCUGAAAUAUUUGUAUAAAUUACAACAUAUUGCAUUCCAUAACCUGGUGCCAUAUUCUUCAUUUGGUCUUCAAUAAAAUUAUUUCAAAGUUACUGUUACCCAUUAUCUGUGUAACACUUGUUUAAGAUUUCUUGAUAAAGAAAUGAAGACCCACCUUAUCUAUCAGAUAUUCUAAGUAUGAAGUCCAGAAAGAAGAGGUAACACCUAAAAGACACUCACUGUUACUCUGGUGGUGGAAAUAUAUACAAAAGCUACCAAUACUUGGUGGUGACUUGUAACAAACUAAUAGAUAGGAAAACAAAUGUGUCUCAGGAUAAUAAUAUGAGUGGAACUAAAAAGCAAGGUGAUUUCUACUCAGGAGCACAAAUUUAAAAUAAUGCACCUUUUUUUCCCAAAAAUUGCACGGGAAAGAAAAAUGCUCUUUCAGGAUUAAGGGGAGGUUAUUGCCAAUUUUUUUUUAUUUCCCCAAUACAUUAUUUUUUUUUCUACUGUACAGCAUGGUGACCCAGUUACACAUACAUGUAUACAUUCUUUUUUCUCACAUUAUCAUGCUCCUCAUAAGUGACUAGACAUAGUUGCCAGUGCUACAUUCAGCACUAAGAUACAAUAUAUUUAAGAGAACUCAUUUCAAUGGGAGAAGAAAAACUCAGUCCCCACAUUUCUAAAUUUGGUGAUUCCCUACUAAAAUUUAUCCUACUUUCAGAGGAUAAUAUAAAUAAAAAUAUGGCAAUGUUAAGAUCCAAAUAAUAUCCUCUUAAAGUUGGGUAAGUUUUUGGUAGGGAAUCACCAAAUUUAGAAAUGUGGGAACUGAAUUUUACUUCUCCCACUGAAAUUAGUUUUCUUAAAUAUGUUGUAUGUUAGUGCUGGAGAGGGUGUGGAAAAAGGGAACCCUCCUACACUGUUGGUGGGAAUGUACAUUGGUACAACCACUAUGGAAAACAGUAUGGAGGUACCUCAGAAAACUAAAUAUAGAACUACUGUGUGACCCAGCAGUCCUACUCUUGGGCAUAUAUCCAGACAAAACUUUCCUUGAAAAAGAUACAUAUGUUCAUUAGCACUAUUUUCACAAUAGCCAAAACAUGGAAACAACCUAGAUGCCCAAUGACAGAUGAAUGGAUUAAGAAGAUGUGGUAUAUACACACAGAGGAAUACUACUCAGCCACAAAAAGAACAAAAUAAUGCCAUUUAUAGAAACAUGAAUGGAACUAGAGACUCUCAUUCGAAGUAAAGGAAGUCAGAAAGAGAAAGAAAGACAAAUACCAUAUGAUAUCAUUUAUAUCGGGGAUGUAUUUUUUAAUGACUUUUAUUUUUUCCAUUAUAGUUGAUUUACAGUGUUCUGUCAGUUUCUAUUGUAUAUACUGCACAAAUGAACCUUUUCACAGAAAAGAAACUCAUGGACUUGCAGUACAGACUUGUGAUUGCCAAGGGGGAGGGUUAGGGAGAGGGAGUGGAAUGAACUGGGAAUCUAGGGUUAAUAGAUUCAAACAAUUGCAUUUGGAGUGGAUAAACAAUGAGAUCCUGCUUUAUGGCACUGGGUAUUAUGUCUAGUCACCUGUGAUGGAAUAUGAUGGAGGAUAGUGUGAGAGAAAGAAUGUGUGUAUUUGUGUGACUAGGUCACCUUGCUAUACAGUAGAGAUUGACAGAAUGUAAACCAACCAACUAUAAUGGACAAAAUGAAAAUCAUUAAAUAAAUAAAAAAAAA